UCCCAACCACCUCGAAUGCUCGGAAGGG
rnacentral:sRNA from 1 species